GGAGAAGAACGCACGGGUGCCCUGCCUCAGAACUGUGGGAUCUGUUGGAAUGAUCCUUUAAACUUUGCUGAUACUAAAGCAAACAGUAAAUUUCUGUUGAACUGGAAAAUGAUUUAAUCCAGUGACAUGCAAGCAAGUCUAACGACAUCUACUUGAAGGACAAAAUGCAGGUUAAUAGUCCCAUAACUUCAAGCGCUCCUAUUUCCUGGACUGUGAAAACAGAAGCACAUGCAUCGGGUUGCGUCUCAACUAAACAGGUACUGGGUCUCACUUCCUUUAAUCCUUAUGGCUGUGCCUGGAGCAACUCUAAGCAUCCCCAGCAGAGACUCACAGUGAUGUAGACGGACUCAGCUUCCCCAUCUUUAAUUGGCUCUGCAGACCUAGAUGAAAAUACUGCUGAGUGUUCACUGUCCACCAGUGGGACAGAGCUGCCUAGGGAAGACAGCGAAGCCCAGUUCAUAAAGGAAAACGAAAACCACAGUCUGAUCACACAGACAUUCUACAACUGAGCACUGAGAAAAAGAACGACGCAAAUGAACCUACUCACAAAACAGAAAGAGGUUCACAGACUUAGAAGACGAGCUAAUGGUUGUUGCGCAGAAGGGACAAUUAGGGAGUUUGGGCUGGACAUGUACACACUGCUAUAUUUAAGCUGGAUGACCAACAAGGACCUACUGUACAGCACAGGGAACUCUGCUCGAUACUAUGUGGCAGCCUGGAUGGGAGGGGAGUUUGGGGGAGAAUGGAUACAUGUACAUGUACGGCUGAGUCCCUUCUCUGUUCACCUGAAACUAUCACAACAUUGUUAACUGGCUAGACCCGAACACAAAAUAAAAAGUUAAAAAAAAAAC
ensembl:lncRNA